rnacentral:rRNA from 1 species
CUACGGGCCGCUGCAGUGAGGAAUAUUGCACAAUGGGGGAACCCUGAUGCAGCAACGCCGCGUGGAGGAUGACGCAUUUCGGUGUGUAAACUCCUUUUAUAUGUCAAGAAAAUGACGGUAGCAUAUGAAUAAGCACCGGCUAACUCCGUGCCAGCAGCCGCGGUAAUACGGAGGGUGCAAGCGUUACUCGGAAUCACUGGGCGUAAAGGACGCGUAGGCGGGUUGGAAAGUCAGGUGUGAAAUCCUACAGCUUAACUGUAGAACUGCACUUGAAACUUCUAAUCUAGAGUAUGGGAGGGGGAGAUGGAAUUAGUGGUGUAGGGGUAAAAUCCGUAGAUAUCACUAGGAAUACCUAAAGCGAAGGCGAUCUCCUGGAACAUUACUGACGCUAAGGCGUGAAAGCGUGGGGAGUAAACAGGAUUAGAUACCCUGGUAGUC